UGUUGGUGGAGAGUCUAGGUGCUUGUCCCGGCUUCGCCGAACCGACAGCCACCACGACAUCUAUGUAUCUGCCUGGUUAUGCUUGCUUGCUUUGCCUUAUUAUGCUCGGCUACAGCUGCUUUGUGCCUACAGCUACUUUAUUAUACCUCUACUUUAAUAUACUUUACCUUUACUAUACACUCGCUUUGCCACAUGCAUUCAUUGACCAGCCUCUACAUUAUUAUACACUACAUUAUUAUAAACAGUCAUUGGUUAACCCUCCAUAAGGCUACUUUGAUGAUUUUUAGAAAAUAUCUGUGGCUGUCGGUUCGCCGAGGCCGGGACGGGCACCUGGACUCUCUGCUGACGCCUGGACCCUGUUGCUA
rnacentral:lncRNA from 1 species